rnacentral:rRNA from 1 species
GAGGAAUAUUGGUCAAUGGCCGCAAGUCUGAACCAGCCAUGUCGCGUGAAGGAAGACGGCCCUACGGGUUGUAAACUUCUUUUAUACGGGAAUAAAGUGCCCCACGUGUGGGGUUUUGCAUGUACCGUAUGAAUAAGGAUCGGCUAACUCCGUGCCAGCAGCCGCGGUAAUACGGAGGAUCCGAGCGUUAUCCGGAUUUAUUGGGUUUAAAGGGUGCUCAGGCGGGGGGUUAAGUCGGCGGUGAAAUUUUGCAGCUCAACUGUAAAAGUGCCUUCGAAACUGGUUCCCUUGAGUGCGGAUGAGGUAGGCGGAAUUUGUGGUGUAGCGGUGAAAUGCAUAGAUAUCACGAGGAACUCCGAUUGCGCAGGCAGGUCACUGGGCCGCAACUGACGCUGAGGAGCGAAAGCAUGGGGAGCGAACA